CGGACGUAGGUAACCUGCCUGGUAGCGGGGGAUAACUAUUGGAAACGAUAGCUAAUACCGCAUAAGAACAUUUACUGCAUGGUAGAUGUUUAAAAAGGUGCAAAUGCAUCACUACCAGAUGGACCUGCGUUGUAUUAGCUAGUAGGUGAGGUAACGGCUCACCUAGGCGACGAUACAUAGCCGACCUGAGAGGGUGAUCGGCCACACUGGGACUGAGACACGGCCCAG
rnacentral:rRNA from 1 species